rnacentral:lncRNA from 1 species
CGCGACAUCGGCCUCAACGUCGGUGACGUCUUCUUCACAAUGGCCGUGACAUUGGGGUCGGUGUCAAUGACGUCUUCCUCAAUGAUCACAACUUCUGUGUCGGUGUCGGUGUCGAUGACGUCUUCCUCAAUGACAGCGACGUCGGUGACGCUGACGCCUCUGUCAAUUACUUCAAUGCCAGCCUUGAUGUCGGCGACGUCUUUCUUAAUGACCGCUACGUCGGCGGCUUCCUUCUCAAUGACUUCGACGCCGGCCUCGAUGUCAGCGACGUCUUUCUCAAUGACUUCGACGCCAGCCUCGACAUUGGCGACGUCUUUCUAAAUGACUUCGACACCAGCCUCAACGUUAGCAACAUCUUUCUCAAUGACUUCGACGCCAGCCUCGACGUCGGCGACAUCUUUCUCAAUGAUUUCACGUCAGUGUCAUACUUCUUAAUGACUUCGACGCUAGCCUCGACGUCGGUGUUGUCCUUCUCAAUAACUACGACGCCAGCCUCGACAUGGAUGAUGUCUAUCUCAAUAACCUCAACGCUAACCUCAAAGUCGGUGUCAACCUCGACGGUGGUGCCAACCUCGAUUUCGGCAUAUGCAUCUUUCUUAAUAACCUCGGCCCCAAUCUAGACUUCAGUGUCAAUCUCGACGUUGGUGAUGUCUUUUUCAAUAACCUCGAUGCCAACCUCGACGUCGGUGACGUCUUUCUCAAUAACCUCAUUGCUAACCUUGACGUCGGCCUAGAUGAUGAUGAUGGCAGACUCAAUAACGGUCAUCGACG